rnacentral:rRNA from 1 species
UACAGGGGGGGCAAGCGUUGUUCGGAAUUACUGGGCGUAAAGGGCGCGUAGGCGGGAUGGCAAGUCGGUCGUGAAAUCCCUCGGCUCAACCGAGGAACGUCGAUCGAUACUGCUGUUCUUGAGGAUUGCAGAGGAGACUGGAAUUCCCGGUGUAGCGGUGAAAUGUGUAGAGAUCGGGAGGAACACCGGUGGCGAAGGCGGGUCUCUGGGCAAUUCCUGACGCUGAGGCGCGAAAGCGUGGGGAGCAAACGGG